rnacentral:rRNA from 1 species
CCUACGGGUGGCAGCAGUGAGGAAUAUUGGUCAAUGGACGAGAGUCUGAACCAGCCAAGUAGCGUGAAGGAUGACUGCCCCAUGGGUUGUAAACUUCUUUUAUCUGGGAAUAAAAUGAUCCACGAGUGGGAUUCUGUAUGUACCUUAUGAAUAAGGAUCGGCUAACUCCGUGCCAGCAGCCGCGGUAAUACGGAGGAUCCGAGCGUUAUCCGGAUUUAUUGGGUUUAAAGGGUGCGUAGGCGGAGUGUUAAGUCAGUUGUGAAAGUUUGCGGCUCAACCGUAAAAUAGCAGUUGAAACUGGCAGUCUUGAGUAGUGUAGAGGUGGGCGGAAUUCGUGGUGUAGCGGUGAAAUGCUUAGAUAUCGCGAAGAACUCCGAUUGCGAAGGCAGUUCACUGGACUGCAACUGACACUGAGGCUCGAAAGUGUGGGUAUCAAACAGGAUUAGAUACCCCAGUAGUC